GAGAUGCCAAUUGGUUGGCGCCACGACUGUUAAUCGUGUUGUGCAGGUUCGAAUCCUGCUCUCA
rnacentral:tRNA from 1 species